rnacentral:rRNA from 1 species
CCCUUAGAUGUUCUGGGCCGCACGCGCGCUACACUGAUGCAUUCAACAAGCCUAGCCUUGACCGAGAGGUCCGGUAAUCUUUGAAACUGCAUCGUGAUGGGGCUAGAUUAUUGCAAUUAUUAAUCUUCAACGAGGAAUGCCUAGUAAGCGUGAUUCAUCAAAUCGCGUUGAUUACGUCCCUGCCCUUUGUACACACCGCCCGUCGCUCCUACCGAUUGAAUGUGUUGGUGAGGAGCUCGGAUUGGCAGCAGUUGGUGGUUCGCCACCGGCUAUUGCUGAGAAGUCCUCCAAACCGCCCCAUUUAGAGGAAGGAGAAGUCGUAACA